rnacentral:rRNA from 1 species
UUCCGGUUGAUCCUGCCGGAGACUACCGCUAUCGGAGUCCGAUUUAGCCAUGCUAGUCCACCGAGUCUUUGACUUGGGGCAUAUAGCUGAGUAACACGUGGCUAACCUGCCCUGUGGAUGGGUAUAACCUCGCUAACGUGAGGCUAAUACCCAAUAUCAGAUGAGGAUGGAAGUAAUCCUCAUCUGUGAAACGUUCUGACGCCACAGGAUGGGGCCGCGGCUGAUUAGGUUGUUGGUGAGGUAACGGCUCACCAAGCCGAUAAUCAGUAGCAGGGGUGAGAGCCCGAGCUGUCAGUCGGCAUCUGAGACAAGAUGCCGGACCCUACGGGGUGCAGCAGGCACGAAACCUUCACAAUGCACGCAGGUGCGAUGGGGGGACUCCGAGUGCAGUCUUCCAAAACGGAAGGCCGCUUUUCUGCACUUUAAGCAGGUGCCGAAACAAGGGGUGGGCAAGACGGCUGCCAGCCGCCGCGGUAAUAGCCGCACCCCGAGUGGUAGUCAUUGUUAUUGGGCUUAAAGUGUUCGUAGCCGGACACACAAGUCUGCUGUGAAAUCUAUGCGCUUAACGUAUGGACAUGCAGCGGAUACUGUGUGUCUAGGAACCGGACGGCGUCGAGGCUAUUCCCGGGGUAGGGGUGAAAUCCUAAAAUCCUGGGAGGAGCACCUGUGGCGAAAGCGCUCGACGAGUACGGAUUCGACGGUGAGGAACGAAAGCCAGUGGAGCAAAGCGGAUUAGAUACCCGCGUAGUACUGGCUGUAAACAUUGUGCGUUUGAUGUCGGACAACCUCCGAGGUUGUCCGGUGCCGAAGUGAAAACGUUAAACGCACCGCCUGGGGAGUACGGUCGCAAGGCUGAAACUUAAAGGAAUUGACGGGGGAGCACCACAACCGGUGGAGGCUGCGGUUUAAUUAGAUCAAACGCAGAGCACUCUACCAGAGCCGACAGCAGAAUGAAGGUCAGCUUGAAGAGCUUACCUGACGCGCUGAGAGGAGCUGCAUGGCCGCCGUCAGCUCGUGCCGUGAGGUGUCCGGUUAAGUCCGGUAACGAGCGAGACCCGCAUCACAUGUUGCCAUGGAUCCCUUCGGGGAUUCGGCACUC